rnacentral:rRNA from 1 species
AUUGAACGCUGGCGGCAGGCCUAACACGUGCAAGUCGAGCGGAUGACGGGAGCUUGCUCCUUGAUUCAGCGGCGGACGGGUGAGUAAUGCCUAGGAAUCUGCCUGGUAGUGGGGGACAACGUUUCGAAAGGAACGCUAAUACCGCAUACGUCCUACGGGAGAAAGCAGGGGACCUUCGGGCCUUGCGCUAUCAGAUGAGCCUAGGUCGGAUUAGCUAGUUGGUGGGGUAAUGGCUCACCAAGGCGACGAUCCGUAACUGGUCUGAGAGGAUGAUCAGUCACACGGGAACUGAGACACGGUCCAGAUUCCUGCGGGAGGCAGCAGUGGGGAAUAUUGGACAAUGGGCGAAAGCCUGAUCCAGCCAUGCCGCGUGUGUGAAGAAGGUCUUCGGAUUGUAAAGCACUUUAAGUUGGGAGGAAGGGCAGUAAGCUAAUACCUUGCUGUUUUGACGUUACCGACAGAAUAAGCACCGGCUAACUCUGUGCCAGCCGCCGCGGUAAUAC